rnacentral:rRNA from 1 species
UGGGGAAUAUUGGACAAUGGGCGCAAGCCUGAUCCAGCCAUGCCGCGUGAGUGAUGAAGGCCCUAGGGUUGUAAAGCUCUUUCACCGGUGAAGAUAAUGACGGUAACCGGAGAAGAAGCCCCGGCUAACUUCGUGCCAGCAGCCGCGGUAAUACGAAGGGGGCUAGCGUUGUUCGGAUUUACUGGGCGUAAAGCGCACGUAGGCGGACUUUUAAGUCAGGGGUGAAAUCCCGGGACUCAACCCCGGAACUGCCUUUGAUACUGGAAGUCUUGAGUAUGGUAGAGGUGGGUGGAAUUCCGAGUGUAGAGGUGAAAUUCGUAGAUAUUCGGAGGAACACCAGUGGCGAAGGCGGCUCACUGGACCAUUACUGACGCUGAGGUGCGAAAGCGUGGGGAGCAAACAGG